rnacentral:rRNA from 1 species
GACGAACGCUGGCGGCGUGCUUAACACAUGCGAGUCGAACGGAAAGGCCCGGCUUUUGUUGGGUGCUCGAGAGGCGAACGGGUGAGUAAAACGUGAGGAAACUGCACUUGACUGUGGGAUAAAUUCAGGAAAAUGGGGAGAAUACCGGAGAGGAGCUCCUGCAGCAUGGUGGGGGAUGGAAAGUUCCGGCGGUGGGGGAUGGACUCGCGGGUUAUCAGCUUGUUGGUGGGGUAGUGGCUUAACAAGGCUUUGAAGGGUAGCAGGCCUGAGAGGGUGACCGGCCACAUUCGGACUGCGAUACGCCCCAGUCUCCUACGGUCGGCAGCAGUGGGGAAUUUUGCAGAAUGGGCGGGAGCCAGAGGUAGCAACCCCGCGUGCGGGAUGCUGUCUUUCUGGUUGUAAACCGCUUUCGCCGGUGACGUAGACGUCUUGACGGUACUUGGUCAAGAAGCACCGGCUAACUACGUG